UACGUAGGGUGCGAGCGUUGUCCGGAUUUACUGGGCGUAAAGAGCGCGCAGGCGGUCGAUCAAGUCGAGUGUGAAAGCCCCGGCUCAACUGGGGAGGGUCAUUCGAUACUGAUCGACUCGAAGGCAGGAGAGGGUAGUGGAAUUCCCGGUGUAGUGGUGGAAAUGCGUAGAUAUUGGGGAAGAACACCGGGUGGCGAAGGCGGCUCACUGGCUCAUAUCUGACGCUCAGGCGCGACAGCGUGGGGAUCAAACAGG
rnacentral:rRNA from 1 species